GACGAACGCUGGCGGCGUGCUUAACACAUGCAAGUCGAACGGAAAGGCCCUGCUUGCAGGGUACUCGAGUGGCGAACGGGUGAGUAACACGUGGGUGAUCUGCCCUGCACUUCGGGAUAAGCCUGGGAAACUGGGUCUAAUAUCGGAUAGGAGCCAUUUUUAGUGUGAUGGUUGGAAAGUUUUUUCGGUGUAGGAUGAGCUCGCGGCCUAUCAGCUUGUUGGUGGGGUAAUGGCCUACCAAGGCGGCGACGGGUAGCCGGCCUGGGGGGGUGGACGGCCACAUUGGGACUGAGAUACGGCCCAGACUCCUACGGGAGGCAACAGUGGGGAAGAUUGCACAAUGGGCGCAAGCCUGAUGCAGCGACGCCGCGGGGGGGAUGACGGCCUUCGGGUUGUAAACUCCUUUCGCUAGGGACGAAGCUUUUUGUGACGGUACCUAGAUAAGAAGCACCGGCUAACUACGUG
rnacentral:rRNA from 1 species